rnacentral:rRNA from 1 species
UACGAAGGGGGCUAGCGUUGUUCGGAAUUACUGGGCGUAAAGGGCGCGUAGGCGGUACUUCAAGUCAGGCGUGAAAGCCCCGGGCUCAACCUGGGAACCGCGCUUGAGACUGGAGAACUAGAGUUCGGGAGAGGAUGGUGGAAUUCCCAGUGUAGAGGUGAAAUUCGUAGAUAUUGGGAAGAACACCGAUGGCGAAGGCAGCCAUCUGGACCGACACUGACGCUGAGGCGCGAAAGCUAGGGGAGCGAACAGG